rnacentral:rRNA from 1 species
UACGUAGGGUGCAAGCGUUGUCCGGAAUUAUUGGGCGUAAAGAGCUCGUAGGCGGUCGGUCGCGUCGGCUGUGAAAACCCGGGGCUCAACCCCGGGCCUGCAGUCGAUACGGGCAGACUAGAGUGCGGUAGGGGAGACUGGAAUUCCUGGUGUAGCGGUGAAAUGCGCAGAUAUCGGGAAGAACACCCGUGGCGAAGGCGGCUCUCUGGGACGGUACUGACGCUGAGACGCGAAAGCGUGGGGAGCGAACCGG